rnacentral:rRNA from 1 species
UACAGAGGGUGCAAGCGUUGCUCGGAAUUAUUGGGCGUAAAGGGUAGGUAGGUGGUCUCAUUUGUCUGGGGUGAAAGCCUUGAGCUUAACUCAAGAAGUGCCCUGGAAACGGUGAGACUAGAGUUCUGGAGAGGGUCGUGGAAUUCCCGGUGUAGCGGUGAAAUGCGCAGAUAUCGGGAAGAACACCCGUGGCGAAGGCGGUUCUCUGGGACGGUACUGACGCUGAGACGCGAAAGCGUGGGGAGCGAACAGG